UUGUUUUUGCUUCUUUAUAUUCCAAAUUACUGAUUUGAUUCUCAGCUUUUAUCUACUCUACUGUUGAUUUCCUAUACAUUAUUCUUCAUUUCAGUUAGUGUACGUUUCACUUCUGAAUGGUCCUUUUUUAUGCCGUUGAAGCUCUCACUAAGUUCAUUGAACAUCCUUAUAAUCACAUUUUGAACUCUGCAUCUAGUAGAUUGCUUGUCUCCAUUUUCUUUAGUUCUUUUUCUGGAGUUUUUUUUAUUUGGAACAGGUUUCUUUGUCCCCUCAUUCUGGCUGCCUCCCUGUGUUUGUUUCCUGUGUAUUAGGUAGAGCUGCUGUGUGUCCUGGGCUUGGUAGAAUGGCCUAAUGUAGUAGGUGUUCUGUAGGGUCCAGUGACACUGCCUCCAUAAUCACCGAGGCUGGGCACUUGAGAUGUGUCUCCCCUUCUUUCCCCCCACCCCCUACGGCCCCCUGUGUGGGUUGUGUACACCUUCCUGUUGUAGUUGAGCCUUGAUUACUGUUGCCACAUCAAUGGGAGGGAUUUACCCCCCAGGCUGAUCAGCAGCAAGGACUGGCUACUACCACCAACCACCAUGGAGGAUCAGCUGUCCAGGAGCCCACCCCAUAGAGUAGGACUGAAUUCAGUAGGGCUCUGAUGUCUGCUGAGUCCACCCCUUGAGUGUAUUAUUUGUGGAGGUGGUUGGAUGUUGCUGCAAUGUGGCCUGAAGCAGUCUAUGAGGUGCCUUGGCUCUGGGGCUUCCCAGGAGGUGCAAGCCAAGAUCAGCCACCACUAGUGUCCUGCCUGGGGCCACCUGGCAUGAGCUGCAAAGCGAUCUGAAGAUGGCUGCUACUUGAGUUGGGCUUGGAGGUGCACAGGAGAGGCCAAGAUGUUAACUGAGGCUGGCUGUGGCUAGUGCCUGGUCUGGGGCCACAUAGCAAGAGGUAUGGCGUGUGCUACUUGAAAGAUUUUAGCAAUGUGUGAAGCAUGAACCAACAUAGGCCAUUUGUAUGGAAAAACUACUGGGUGGGCCUGCAAUUUGGUGGGCAGGGUCUCAGGGAAUCACCAUGGCAGGGGCAAACAGUGUGAGCCAGGUUGAUGGAGACUCAGAUAUGGUGCCCACCUGCUGGCUCUUUGGGGCAGUUGUCUCAGAAAAGCAACCACAGCCUCUGUCAGCACUUUUGUCUGACAGAAAGUUGUCCCCUCCCAAGCUCUGAAUUUGAUGCCAGACAAUUCUGUUUCUUCCUCUUUGUCCCUGGUUCCUUUCAAGCUGAGUUCAGAAGGAGUUUAAAUAAAUCUGUGCAUGGGCUCUUUAUGAGGAACUUCCUGGGAUUCCAGCAGCUCUUUGUCUCCCUCAGCUGCAACCCUGCUGGUUCUUGAAGCCAGAAAUUAUGGGGACUUCUCUUCCUGGCACUGGAACUCUGGCUGGGGUGAGGUGAGGUGGGGCAAGGGGCGGACAGCUUGUUCUGUACUUCCUACCACUCUCAAUGUGGCUGGUUUAGAAAAGUUAGAUUUAAUGUUAGGGUUGAGUUUAAUAUAAGGUUAUGGUUUAUGUUAAGGUUAGGUUUAUGGGUGUAGAGAGCAUUAGGUAUAGGGUUAGGGCUAGGAUUGUGGUUAGGUAUAGAGUUAGGGUUAGAAUUAGUUUAGGAUUAGGAUUGACCUUAAGAUUAGGUAUAGGGUAAGGUUUAAAGUUAGGGUCAGGUUUAGGGUUGAAUUGAGGUAUAGGGUUGAAGUUUUAGGUGUGGUUUGGAUUAGCAUUAGGGUUGUUAAUCUUAGGGUUAGAUUAGAUUGGGGAUUGAGGUAAGGUAUGAGAUGAGUUUUUAGGAUUAUGGAAAGUGUUAGGUAUACGGAAGAGUUGGGUUGAGGUUAUGUAGGGUUUUAGGGAUAGAGUUGAAAUUGAGGUGUUACAGUUGGGAUUAAAGUUAGGAUUAGGUUUGAGGUUAGGUAUAAAUUAAAUUAGUGGUAGAGGUUAUUUUAAGUACAACUAGGAUUAGGUUUAUGGAGACAGGUAUUGGUGUAGUUUUAUGGUUAAAGUUAGGGUGAGAUCGAGUUAGGUACAGGGUUAGAAAUAUUACUCAUAGCGUUAGGUUUUGGGUUAAAGUAGGCUUAGGGUUAGAUGUAAAUUUAAGGUUAGGGUUUGGUUUGGGGUUAGGAUUAGACAUGUUUAUGGUAUAAGGCUAAGGGUUAGAGUUAGUUUCGGAGUUGAGAUUAGGUGUAUGGUUAAGGUAAGGAUUAGGUAAAGGGUUAGGAUUAGGUAUAGAUUUAGGCAUAAUAUUAGGGUUAAAGUUAGCAUUAGGGUUGAGGUUUAAAUUAAGGUAGGGUUAGGGUUAACAAUAGGGUUAGGGUUUAUGUUAAAAUUAUGUUUGAAUGUUAGGGUUAUGGUUAAAUUUAGAUUUUAAGGUUUUGUAGGUUUAAGUGAUAAGAUUAUGAUUAGUGUUGAGGUUAGGUGUAGGGUUAGGAUAAGGAUUAGGAUUAGGUUUGAGAUUAGGUUUAGGGUUAGUAUUAGAUUAAGAGUAGUAUAUGAUUAGGAAUAGGGUUCCAAUUGAAUAUAACAUUAAGAUUAAGUUUAGUGUUGAAUUUUGGUAUAAGUUUAGAGUUAGGUUUGAUGUUAAGAUUAGAGCUAAAUUAAGGUUAGGAUUGAAAUUAGUAAUAUCUUUGGGUUAGGGUUGGUUUUAUGUCAAUGGCUUCUCAUCUGAAGGAGUCUUUAAUGUCCAUCAUUGAGUGUCAGAGACAAGGGAAGAUGUUCAUUUGCAGUUAGACAUCUGAUAAGAUCCCUUCCAAUGAGGUUGGAGAGUGAGUGGGUUUUCUUUUCUUUUCUU